CCUACGGGAGGCAGCAGUGGGGAAUAUUGCGCAAUGGGCGAAAGCCUGACGCAGCGACGCCGCGUGAGGGAUGAAGGUCUUCGGAUCGUAAACCUCUGUCAGCAGGGAGGAACGUUCACUGUUCUAUUCAGCAGUGAAUUGACGUUACCUACAGAGGAAGCACCGGCUAACUCCGUGCCAGCAGCCGCGGUAAUACGGAGGGUGCAAGCGUUAAUCGGAAUUACUGGGCGUAAAGCGCUCGUAGGCGGUAGGUCAAGUCAAGGGUGAAAUCCCCGGGCUCAACGUGGGAACUGCCUUUGAAACUGGUAAGCUGGAGUGUGGGAGAGGAGAGUAGAAUUCCAGGUGUAGGAGUGAAAUCCGUAGAGAUCUGGAGGAAUACCAGUGGCGAAGGCGACUAUCUGGAAAAAAACUGACGCUGAGGUGCGAAAGCGUGGGUAGCAAACAGGAUUAGAUACCCGAGUAGUC
rnacentral:rRNA from 1 species